UGGGGAAUUUUGGACAAUGGGCGAAAGCCUGAUCCAGCAAUGCCGCGUGUGUGAAGAAGGCCUUCGGGUUGUAAAGCACUUUUGUCCGGAAAGAAAUCCUCUGGGUUAAUACCUCGGGGGGAUGACGGUACCGGAAGAAUAAGCACCGGCUAACUACGUGCCAGCAGCCGCGGUAAUACGUAGGGUGCAAGCGUUAAUCGGAAUUACUGGGCGUAAAGCGUGCGCAGGCGGUUUUGUAAGACGGAUGUGAAAUCCCCGGGCUUAACCUGGGAACUGCAUUCGUGACUGCAAGGCUAGAGUAUGGCAGAGGGGGGUAGAAUUCCACGUGUAGCAGUGAAAUGCGUAGAGAUGUGGAGGAAUACCGAUGGCGAAGGCAGCCCCCUGGGCCAAUACUGACGCUCAUGCACGAAAGCGUGGGGGAGCAAAACAGGAUUAGAUACCCCUGGUAGUCCACGCCCUAAACGAUGUCAACUAGUUGUUGGGGGAUUCAUUUCCUUAGUAACGUAGCUAACGCGUGAAGUUGACCGCCUGGGGGAGUACGGUCGCAAGAUUAAAACUCAAAUGAAUUGACGGGGUCAUAGCUGUUUCC
rnacentral:rRNA from 1 species